rnacentral:rRNA from 1 species
GGCCCAGACUCCUACGGGAGGCAGCAGUCGGGAAUAUUGCACAAUGGAGGAAACUCUGAUGCAGUGACGCCGCGUGCAGGAAGAAGGUUUUCGGAUUGUAAACUGCUUUAGACAGGGAAGAAACAAGACAGUACCUGUAGAAUAAGCUUCGGCUAACUACGUGCCAGCAGCCGCGGUAAUACGUAGGGAGCAAGCGUUAUCCGGAUUUAUUGGGUGUAAAGGGUGCGUAGACGGGAAUUUAAGUUAGUUGUGAAAUCCCUCGGCUUAACUGAGGAACUGCAACUAAAACUGAAUUUCUUGAGUGCGGGAGAGGAAAGUGGAAUUCCUAGUGUAGCGGUGAAAUGCGUAGAUAUUAGGAGGAACACCAGUGGCGAAGGCGACUUUCUGGACCGUAACUGACGUUGAGGCUCGAAAGCGUGGGGAGCAAACAGGAUUAGAUACCCCGGUA